rnacentral:rRNA from 1 species
UGGGGAAUUUUGGACAAUGGGCGAAAGCCUGAUCCAGCAAUGCCGCGUGUGUGAAGAAGGCCUUCGGGUUGUAAAGCACUUUUGUCCGGAAAGAAAUCCUUGGCUCUAAUACAGUCGGGGGAUGACGGUACCGGAAGAAUAAGCACCGGCUAACUACGUGCCAGCAGCCGCGGUAAUACGUAGGGUGCAAGCGUUAAUCGGAAUUACUGGGCGUAAAGCGUGCGCAGGCGGUUUGCUAAGACCGAUGUGAAAUCCCCGGGCUCAACCUGGGAACUGCAUUGGUGACUGGCAGGCUAGAGUAUGGCAGAGGGGGGUAGAAUUCCACGUGUAGCAGUGAAAUGCGUAGAGAUGUGGAGGAAUACCGAUGGCGAAGGCAGCCCCCUGGGCCAAUACUGACGCUCAUGCACGAAAGCGUGGGGAGCAAAACAGGAUUAGAUACCCUGGUAGUCCACGCCCUAAACGAUGUCAACUAGUUGUUGGGGAUUCAUUUCCUUAGUAACGUAGCUAACGCGUGAAGUUGACCGCCUGGGGAGUACGGUCGCAAGAUUAAAACUCAAAGGAAUUGACGGGGUCUUAGCUG